rnacentral:rRNA from 1 species
UACGUAGGGGGCGAGCGUUGUCCGGAUUUAUUGGGCGUAAAGAGCUCGUAGGCGGUUUGGUAAGUUGGAUGUGAAAUCUCCAGGCUCAACUUGGAGGGGUCAUUCGAUACUGCCAUGACUAGAGUUCGGUAGGGGAGUGUGGAAUUCCUGGUGGAGCGGUGAAAUGCGCAGAUAUCAGGAGGAACGCCCGUAGCGAAGGCGGCACUCUGGGCCGGAACUGACGCUGAGGAGCGAAAGCGUGGGGAGCGAACAGG